CGAACGCUGGCGGCGUGCUUAACACAUGCAAGUCGAACGGUAAGGCCCUUCGGGGUACACGAGUGGCGAACGGGUGAGUAACACGUGGGUGAUCUGCCCUGCACUUUGGGAUAAGCCUGGGAAACUGGGUCUAAUACCGAAUACACCCUGCUGGCCGCAUGGUCUGGUGGGGGAAAGCUUUUGCGGUGUGGGAUGGGCCCGCGGCCUAUCAGCUUGUUGGUGGGGUGAUGGCCUACCAAGGCGACGACGGGUAGCCGGCCUGAGAGGGUGUCCGGCCACACUGGGACUGAGAUACGGCCCAGACUCCUACGGGAGGCAGCAGUGGGGAAUAUUGCACAAUGGGCGCAAGCCUGAUGCAGCGACGCCGCGUGAGGGAUGACGGCCUUCGGGUUGUAAACCUCUUUCACCAGGGACGAAGCGCAAGUGACGGUACCUGGAGAAGAAGCACCGGCCAACUACGUGCCAGCAGCCGCGGUAAUACGUAGGGUGCGAGCGUUGUCCGGAAUUACUGGGCGUAAAGAGCUCGUAGGUGGUUUGUCGCGUUGUUCGUGAAAUCUCACGGCUUAACUGUGAGCGUGCGGGCGAUACGGGCAGACUGGAGUACUGCAGGGGAGACUGGAAUUCCUGGUGUAGCGGUGGAAUGCGCAGAUAUCAGGAGGAACACCGGUGGCGAAGGCGGGUCUCUGGGCAGUAACUGACGCUGAGGAGCGAAAGCGUGGGGAGCGAACAGGAUUAGAUACCCUGGUAGUCCACGCCGUAAACGGUGGGUACUAGGUGUGGGUUUCCUUCCUUGGGAUCCGUGCCGUAGCUAACGCAUUAAGUACCCCGCCUGGGGAGUACGGCCGCAAGGCUAAAACUCAAAGAAAUUGACGGGGGCCCGCACAANCGGCGGAGCAUGNGAUUAAUUCGAUGGAANGCGAAGUACAAACCCGGGUUUACAUGCAAGGAC
rnacentral:rRNA from 1 species